rnacentral:rRNA from 1 species
CCUACGGGAGGCAGCAGUGAGGAAUAUUGGUCAAUGGGCGCGAGCCUGAACCAGCCAAGUCGCGUGAGGGAAGACGGUCCUAUGGAUUGUAAACCUCUUUUGUCGGGGAGCAAAAGACGCCACGCGUGGCGUUCCGAGAGUACCCGAAGAAAACGCAUCGGCUAACUCCGUGCCAGCAGCCGCGGUAAUACGGAGGAUGCGAGCGUUAUCCGGAUUUAUUGGGUUUAAGGGGUGCGCAGGCGGAAGAUCAAGUCAGCGGUAAAAUUGAGUGGCUCAACCUCGUCGAGCCGUUGAAACUGGUUAUCUUGAGUGAGUGAGAGGUAUGCGGAAUGCGAGGUGUAGCGGUGAAAUGCAUAGAUAUCACGCAGAACUCCGAUUGCGAAGGCAGCAUACCGGCGCUCAACUGACGCUCAUGCACGAAAGUGUGGGUAUCGAACAGGAUUAGAUACCUUUGUAGUC